rnacentral:rRNA from 1 species
UGGGGAAUAUUGCACAAUGGGCGCAAGCCUGAUGCAGCAACGCCGCGUGAGGGACGACGGCCUUCGGGUUGUAAACCUCUUUUGGCAGGGAAGAAGCGAAAGUGACGGUACCUGCAGAAAAAGCACCGGCUAACUACGUGCCAGCAGCCGCGGUGAUACGUAGGGUGCAAGCGUUGUCCGGAAUUAUUGGGCGUAAAGAGCUCGUAGGCGGUUUGUCGCGUCUGCUGUGAAAACCCGAGGCUCAACCUCGGGCCUGCAGUGGGUACGGGCAAACUAGAGGGCGGUAGGGGAGAUUGGAAUUCCUGGUGUAGCGGUGGAAUGCGCAGAUAUCAGGAGGAACACCGAUGGCGAAGGCAGAUCUCUGGGCCGUAACUGACGCUGAGGAGCGAAAGCAUGGGGAGCGAAC